AUGAACGCUGACAGAAUGCUUAACACCUGCAAGUCACCUUGAACUUCGGUUUGGGUGGCGGACGGGUGAGUAACGCGUAAAGAACUUGCCUCACAGCUAGGGACAACAUUUGGAAACGAAUGCUAAUACCUGAUAUUAUGAUUUUAGGGCAUCCUAGAAUUAUGAAAGCUAUAUGCGCUGUGAGAGAGCUUUGCGUCCCAUUAGCUAGUUGGAGAGGUAACGGCUCACCAAGGCGAUGAUGGGUAGCCGGCCUGAGAGGGUGAACGGCCACAAGGGGACUGAGACACGGCCCUUACUCCUACGGGAGGCAGCAGUGGGGAAUAUUGGACAAUGGACCAAGAGUCUGAUCCAGCAAUUCUGUGUGCACGAUGAAGUUUUUCGGAAUGUAAAGUGCUUUCAGUUGGGAAGAAAAAAAUGACGGUACCAACAGAAGAAGUGACGGCUAAAUACGUG
rnacentral:rRNA from 1 species